GGUAGCGAAAUUCCUUGUCGGUUAAAUACCGACCUGCAUGAAUGGCGUAACGAGAUGGGAGCUGUCUCAAAGAGGGAUCCAGUGAAAUUGUAGUGGAGGUGAAAAUUCCUCCUACCCGCGGCAAGACGGGAAGACCCCGUGGACCUUUACUACAGCUUGACACUGCUAUUUGGAUAAGAAUGUGCAGGAUAGGUGGGAGGCUUUGAGUAUAUGACGCCAGUUGUAUAUGAGCCAUUGUUGAGAUACCACUCUUUCUUAUUUGGGUAGCUAACCAGCUUGAGUUAUCCUCAAGUGGGACAAUGUCUGGUGGGUAGUUUGACUGGGGCGGUCGCCUCCCAAAUAAUAACGGAGGCUUACAAAGGUUGGCUCAGAACGGUUGGAAAUCGUUCGUAGAGUAUAAAGGUAUAAGCCAGCUUNACUGCAAGACAUACAAGUCAAGCAGAGACGAAAGUCGGUCUUAGUGAUCCGGUGGUUCUGUGUGGAAGGGCCAUCGCUCAAAGGAUAAAAGGU
rnacentral:rRNA from 1 species